UACGUAGGGUCCAAGCGUUAAUCGGAAUUACUGGGCGUAAAGGGUGAGUAGGCGGUUAUAUAAGAUUGAUGUGAAAGCCCUGGGCUUAACCUGGGAUGUGCAUUGAAGACUGUAUAGCUAGAGUGAAGCAGAGGGGGGUAGAAUUCCACGUGUAGCAGUGAAAUGCGUAGAGAUGUGGAGGAAUACCGAUGGCGAAGGCAGCCCCCUGGGUUUACACUGACGCUGAGUCACGAAAGCGUGGGGAGCAAACAGG
rnacentral:rRNA from 1 species